rnacentral:lncRNA from 1 species
CUGAAGCCCGCACUGGGCCCGGGGCCCUUUGGUGAGUGUGGGUCUGCCAGACUCACAGGUGAAAGUGGGUGGGCAAGUAGGGUGUGUGGUGCAGGACUGUAAUCCCAGCACGGAGGAGGCUGAGGCAGGAGGGUACUCGAGAGUUGAAGCCCAGCCUGAGGAGCUCAGUGCCAGCCUGAAGUACAUAGUGAGACCCUGUCUCAAAAGAAAGGAAAGGAAAGGGAAAGAGAAAGGGAAAGGAAGGGAAAGGAAAGAAAAGCAAGGGAAAGUGGGUGGGUAGAAAUACUCUGCUGACCCCAGCGGUCUCUGGUCUGUCUGUGUCUCAGGGAGCCCUGAAGUGAAGAGCGGCAACAAUGGCCAGUUGGAGGCCAGUUACUGAGGCCGCUGCCCUCUUGGGAAAUGCUGAGCACCUGAGCUGGCCCCUGCUCAUCGGAGAGCCCCCAAACAGCAUCCCCUCCAUGGGGCAAGGAAGGCAGGACCUUGGGGAUUGGCCUCUGAUGCUGCUGGCCGGGGGUCUCCCCUGGGCUGACGCAUUAAUAAAUGCAAUGUGCUUCCAUUCGCCUUUGUGUACCACUGUGGUGAGGGUGGCACGGGUUGGCAACCACUACCUAGCACCUCAUUUAUUUAUUCACGCAACAAAUGCCAGUGUGGUUGUGUGCCAGGGGCCAUGCUCUGGAUGGGUGACAUCAUUAGAAUAAAACAGACAACACCAGUAAGGAAACUGUAUCUAAAUUAGAGGACUUGUGUAUGGAAAAAAUUACUUUGUAAUUUGUAUUUUAG